rnacentral:rRNA from 1 species
UACGGGAGGCAGCAGUGGGGAAUCUUGCACAAUGGAGGAAACUCUGAUGCAGCGAUGCCGCGUGAGUGAAGAAGGCCUUUGGGUUGUAAAGCUCUUUUGUAGGGGAAGAUAAUGACUGUACCCUAAGAAUAAGGUCCGGCUAACUUCGUGCCAGCAGCCGCGGUAAUACGAAGGGACCUAGCGUAGUUCGGAAUUACUGGGCGUAAAGCGCGCGUAGGCCGUUGAGUUAGUUAAUUGUGAAAUCCCAAAGCUUAACUUUGGAACUGCAAUUAAAACUGCUCGACUAGAGUUUGAUAGAGGAAAGCGGAAUACAUAGUGUAGAGGUGAAAUUCGUAGAUAUUAUGUAGAACACCAGUUGCGAAGGCGGCUUUCUGGAUCAACACUGACGCUGAGGCGCGAAAGUAUGGGUAGCAAAGAGGAUUAGAUACCCUCGUAGUCCAUACCAUAAACGAUGAUUGCUAGAUGUGGAAAUUUAUUUUCAGUAUCGCAGCUAACGCAU